rnacentral:lncRNA from 1 species
CUUUUUUAGAACAACACUGGGAGCUUUGAGGAGAUGUUUGACUAGCAGCCUCAUUGAAGCACUCAUGGUGUGAGAAGGGGGAAGCAGGGGGUGUCAAUGACAGGAAAGGAUAUCCAGUGAAAAUGCUCAGGAGAAGCUGAAGCUUUGAUCUCCAACAUGCAGUGACCUUCUGAGGAAAAUGGGACAAAGCCAGUCCCCACAGACCCAGUUUGGCUGUGCAAGCAGAGAAGAAUGAAACAGAAUGAGGGUAGAAAAUGGGGCUGCCACCUUGAAGUUGCUCCUUCUGUCGUCAGAAGUGUGUCUGUGACUCAGUUGAGAUGUUCCACCACGGAGGAGCUGCUGCAUCUCCUUGUCGAGGCAGGUGUGGAGGGACACCCAGAGCAGAGCAAUUCCCAUCUCCCUUGGAUGCUGCUUAGGGCAGCAGCAGAGUUAAACUGGCACAUCCCUUUCUACCUCAAACACACGUCAUUUUGCUUCACACCCUCAGU